UGCGCAGGCGGUUUUGUAAGUCAGAUGUGAAAUCCCCGGGCUCAACCUGGGAACUGCGUUUGAAACUGCAAGACUCGAAUAUGUCAGAGGGGGGUAGAAUUCCACGUGUAGCAGUGAAAUGCGUAGAGAUGUGGAGGAAUACCAAUGGCGAAGGCAGCCCCCUGGGAUAAUAUUGACGCUGAGGUGCGAAAGCGUGGGGAGCAAACAGGAUUAGAUACCCGCGUA
rnacentral:rRNA from 1 species